ACCAUUCUAUGGUUCUAUAUGGGAGUCCUUUAGUAAGACCUCUACAGGAAGCAGGUGAAUGCAUUCUAGUAAUGGACGUAACUGCAUUGGGAUCCAGCUGGAAAACAUCUACCCAAGGGUAAAUAAAGCCAGGUGAGGAGACUGACAGCUCUGGAAGGUGCUUGGUGAUACCAGUGUUUCUCCAUCUGUGAGCAAAGAUGCUGGAUUGUUAAACUCCAAUCCCUUGUUCUGCACAGAAACCACCAAGAGCAUUCAGGAGAAAAUGGAGGGCAUCAAACCUACUGAAUCAGCAUCCUUCUUUCCUCCUAAUGAACUUAACUGUGGAGGAAAAGACACUUCACGCCCCUCAAGAGUGGCCUGACUUUCAUGGGAGAGACUGAAGGUUUCACUGGAGAAAGCACCUAGAAGCAGGACGUAUUACUCUAGCACAACAGUCUAUUUGCGACAGUUUGCUCUCAUCUUCCUGCAACCCAUCUUACAAAUGAGACAUAAAGUUGAGGCUCUGGAUGCUUACAGACCCAAUCCUGCAACAUUUACGCACCUGUUUAAAUCUGAAUCAUGUGAAGAUUCAUAGCGAAUGGGAUGUGCAGGACGACUAACACUUGAGGAACUACAGCAAUUUCUCCAGAGCAGUUUUGCAGUUCUUCAGGAUAACGAGCAACACAUGAAACGAGGGUACAUUAUUUCCUCCCCAGAUCUGGCCAGGAUGCUGUAAAGGAUGGACUUGGAGUGAAUGCAGAAUAAAAUGUCCUCUCCUGCAGUCAGUACCUAUUAUAUUCAUUUCUUUCUACCACUACAGUAAGACUCCUGAUCAUGCAGAGCUUAGUACAACAAGAUCUGUAGGUUUUCAUCUCAGAGUCGCACUUGGUGAUGUUAUACAGCCUCGUUAAUUGAUUACACAAUAAUUCAGCAAGCUGCUCUAUUCCUGCAUCCCCUAUAUUGCUUGCUGCCUCCUCACUCACAACCAGCUGUUCUUCAAGGUCCUGGUCCCUGUGUUUGAAGCCUGAUCAGCUGAAGAAUGACCUUUUUCUCUGACCUACAUCUUUCAGAGGAAUACAGCAACAGAUGACACCAAGUAGAGGAUUCAGAGAGCUCUUUGUGCAAGCCCCUAGCAGCAGAGCUCUCCAGUGAAGGGCAUGAAGCUUAACUCCCAGCUUACCCUGCAAGGAGGGGUUUUAUUUCAUUUCAGUGAACAGCAGCAUUUCCAUUGACUUAUGCAG